rnacentral:rRNA from 1 species
GGGCCCGCACAAGCGGUGGAGUAUGUGGUUUAAUUCGAUGCAACGCGAAGAACCUUACCAGGGUUUGACAUCCUGCGAAUCUCUUGGAAACGAGAGAGUGCCUUCGGGAACGCAGUGACAGGUGGUGCAUGGCUGUCGUCAGCUCGUGUCGUGAGAUGUUGGGUUAAGUCCCGCAACGAGCGCAACCCACGUCUUUAGUUGCCAGCAUUUAGUUGGGCACUCUAGAGAGACUGCCGGUGAUAAACCGGAGGAAGGUGUGGAUGACGUCAAGUCAUCAUGCCCCUUACAUCCUGGGCUACACACGUACUACAAUGCUACGGACAAAGAGCAGCAAGUUCGCGAGGACAAGCAAAUCUCAUAAACCGUGGCUCAGUUCAGAUCGUAGGCUGCAACUCGCCUACGUGAAGGCGGAAUCGCUAGUAAUCGCAGGUC